rnacentral:rRNA from 1 species
UAGAUACCCUGGUAGUCCUGGCCGUAAACGAUGGGUACUAGGUGUAGGAGGUAUCGACCCCUCCUGUGCCGGAGUUAACGCAAUAAGUACCCCGCCUGGGGAGUACGGCCGCAAGGCUGAAACUCAAAGGAAUUGACGGGGGCCCGCACAAGCGGUGGAGUAUGUGGUUUAAUUCGACGCAACGCGAAGAACCUUACCAAGCCUUGACAUUGCUCGUAACGGGUAGAGAUACUUGGUUCUUCUUCGGAAG